ACGAGAGGACAAGAGAAGCUUGCUUCUUUUGGAAUCGAGUGGCAAACGGGUGAGUAACACGUAAACAACCUGCCUUCAGGAUGGGGACAACAGACGGAAACGACUGCUAAUACCGAAUACGCUUGGAAGACCGCAUGAUCUUCCAAGGAAAGGGUGGCCUCUACCUGUAAGCUAUCGCCUGAAGAGGGGUUUGCGUCUGAUUAGGCAGUUGGUGAGGUAACGGCCCACCAAACCUACGAUCAGUAGCCGGUCUGAGAGGAUGAACGGCCACACUGGAACUGAGACACGGUCCAGACUCCUACGGGAGGCAGCAGUGGGGAAUCUUCCGCAAUGGGCGAAAGCCUGACGGAGCAACGCCGCGUGAGUGAUGACGGCCUUCGGGUUGUAAAGCUCUGUGAUCGGGGACGAACGGUCCGUAAGCUAAUACCUUAUGGAAGUGACGGUACCCGAAUAGCAAGCCACGGCUAACUACGUGCCAGCAGCCGCGGUAAUACGUAGGUGGCAAGCGUUGUCCGGAAUUAUUGGGCGUAAAGCGCGCGCAGGCGGCUUUCUAAGUCCAUCUUAAAAGUGCGGGGCUUAACCCCGUGAUGGGAUGGAAACUGGAAAGCUGGAGUAUCGGAGAGGAAAGUGGAAUUCCUAGUGUAGCGGUGAAAUGCGUAGAGAUUAGGAAGAACACCGGUGGCGAAGGCGACUUU
rnacentral:rRNA from 1 species